rnacentral:rRNA from 1 species
AGGGCGUAUGGGGGAUGCCUAGGCUCUCAGAGGCGAAGAAGGACGUGAUAAGCUGCGAUAAGCUGCGGGGAUUCGCACAUAGGAAUAGAUCCGCAGAUUUCCGAAUGGGGCAACCCAGCUACUUGAAGAGUAGUUACUCCGAUUAAUCGGAGAGCAAACCCGCUGAACUGAAACAUCUAAGUAAGCGGAGGAAGAGAAAACAAUAGUGAUUCCGUAAGUAGUGGCGAGCGAACGCGGAACAGCCCAAACCCAAUCGGUUACGGCCGGUUGGGGGUUGUAGGACUACAUAAUUGGUUAUAAAGUGAAACUGAACCUGUCUGGGAAGUCAGGCCGCAGAGGGUGAAAGCCCCGUAAGUGUAAGUUUUAUAAUUGAGGUAGUAUCCUGAGUAGGUCGGGGUCGGAGAAUCCCCGUCUGAAACUGCCGGCACCAUCCGGUAAGGCUAAAUACUCCUGAGAGACCGAUAGUGAACCAGUACUGUGAAGGAAAGGUGAAAAGUACCGUGAAUAACGGGGUGAAAUAGAACCUGAAACCAUACGCUUACAAGCGGUCGGAGCCCAUUCGUUGGGUGACGGCGUGCCUUUUGCAUAAUGAGCCUACGAGUUACUCCUCACUGGCAAGGUUAAGGCCUUCAGGGCCGUAGCCGGAGCGAAAGCGAGUCUGAACAGGGCGCAUAGUCAGUGGGGGUAGACGCGAAACUUUGUGAUCUACCCAUGACCAGGUUGAAGGAUCGGUAACACGAUCUGGAGGACCGAACCAGUAAACGUUGAAAAGUUUUUGGAUGAGUUGUGGGUAGGGGUGAAAGGCCAAUCAAACUGAGAAAUAGCUCGUACUCCCCGAAAUGUUUUUAGGAACAGCCUCAGGGUUGAGUCUUUGAGAGGUAGAGCUACCGAUUGGACUAGGGGGAGUCAAAUCCUACCAAAUCCAGACGAACUCCGAAUGCUCAAAGAUAUACCUGGGAGUGAGGGCUGGGGUGCUAAGGUCCCAGUCCGAGAGGGAAAGAACCCAGAUCAACAGCUAAGGUCCCCAAAUGUACACUAAGUUGAACAAAGGUAGUUCAACUGCUUAGACAGCCAGGAUGUUGGCUUGGAAGCAGCCAUUCAUUUAAAGAGUGCGUAACAGCUCACUGGUCGAGCGGUCGAGCAUCGAUAAUAAACGGGCAUCAAGUGUACUACCGAAGCUUUGGAUUCCGAUUAAUCGGAGUGGUAGGGGAGCAUUCUAUACCGCGGCGAAGGUUAACUGUAAGGUUGAUUGGAGCGUAUAGAAAAGCAAAUGUAGGCAUAAGUAACGAUAAAACAGGCGAGAAACCUGUUCGCCGAUAGACUAAGGUUUCCCCGGCAAUGCUAAUCAUCCGGGGGUUAGUCGGGUCCUAAGGAGAAUCCGAAAGGAGUAUUCGAUGGACAACGGGUUAAUAUUCCCGUACCGGCUGCAUGAGCGAAGGAGGGACGGAGUAGUGAAAGGCUCGCGCACUGACGGAAUAGUGCGUUUAACACCGUAGGUAUAGGUUAGGUAGGCAAAUCCGCCUGACUUGCUGAAAGUGGAAAGUACCCAGAGGCUUCUGCCGAUGGGAUAGUGGCCCUAAUCAGACUUCCAAGAAAAUCUUCUAGUAAUUGUGCAGCCGCCCGUACCGUAAACCGACACAGGUGGUCAAGGAGAGAAUCCUAAGGCGCUCGAGUGAAUCAUGGCUAAGGAACUCGGCAAAAUAACCCUGUAACUUCGGGAGAAGGGGAGCCCCGACCUAGUCGGGGCCGCAGAGAAAUGGCCCAGGCGACUGUUUAACAAAAACACAUGUCCCUGCGAAAUCGAAAGAUAAAGUAUAGAGACUGACACCUGCCCGGUGCUGGAAGGUUAAGGGGGGAUGUUAGGGGUAACCCGAAGCAUUGAACUGAAGCCCCAGUAAACGGCGGCCGUAACUAUAACGGUCCUAAGGUAGCGAAAUUCCUUGUCGGGUAAGUUCCGACCUGCACGAAUGGUGUAACGAUCUGGGCGCUGUCUCGGCCAUGAGCUCGGUGAAAUUGUAGUAGCGGUGAAGAUGCCGCUUACCCGCAACGGGACGGAAAGACCCCAUGAACCUUCACUACAACUUUACAUUGACUUUGGGUAAGGGAUGUGUAGGAUAGGCCGGAGGCUAUGAAUCAGUGUCGCUAGGCAUUGAGGAGCCAACGUUGAAAUACGGCCCUUUUCUUAUCUGGAGUCUAACCACGUAAGUGGGACAUUGUAUGGUGGGUAGUUUGACUGGGGUGGUCGCCUCCAAAAGAGUAACGGAGGCUUCCAAAGGUACCCUCAGCACGCUUGGUAACCGUGCGCAGAGUGCAUUAGCAAAAGGGUGCUUGACUGUGAGACCAACAAGUCGAUCAGGUAGGAAACUAGGGUAAAGUGAUCCGGUGGUUCCGCAUGGAAGGGCCAUCGCUCAAAGGAUAAAAGGUACUCUGGGGAUAACAGGCUGAUCUCCCCCAAGAGCUCAUAUCGACGGGGAGGUUUGGCACCUCGAUGUCGGCUCGUCACAUCCUGGGGCUGGAGAAGGUCCCAAGGGUUCGGCUGUUCGCCGAUUAAAGUGGCACGCGAGCUGGGUUCAGAACGUCGUGAGACAGUUCGGUCCCUAUCUGUUGUGGGCGUUAGAAGCUUGAGAGGACCUGACUUUAGUACGAGAGGACCGAGUUGGACCAGCCUCUGGUGUAUCUGUUGUGCCGCCAGGUGCAGUGCAGAGUAGCUAUGCUGGGACGAGAUAAGCGCUGAAAGCAUCUAAGCGCGAAACUCACCUCAAGAUGAGGCUUCU